CACAUGCAAGCACACAUCUAUACAUAUGUACAUUACACAUGUACACAUGUUUACACAUGCAUACAGAGACACACUCUGACACACACAUACACACACAUGCACACGUGAGUCACCUAAAAUCUGGACCAGGGCCACGUGCAGCCCUAGAGAAGGAGAAUCUUGCCUUGCCUGGUGCAGCGGCCUUGGGAAGGUCUCCUACUUGUUAUUCAUUCUCCUUCUAAAUUAUUAUUCAUUCUUACUAAUGACAAAGCGGUUCUUCCCUUGGGCCAGAGGCUGGCCCUGCUGUCUUAGAUUGGAUUCUCUGGGGAGCCGGUUCCCUGGGAGCUGGGAUCUGAGUAGAAAGAGUCUGUCGGGAGGGGAUCCAAGAAGCACAGUGGGAGAGCGGGGGCGUGGUGGGGAAGGGAAGGAGCCAGACAGGAUGUGGCAGUGAGCAGCUGGGGCUCUGUCCUGCUGCAGGGUGGGGGCAGGGGCGGUCGUAGGACAAACCGCAAACCUUGACUCCUGUUUGUUGUUGGACGAGGGCUGCUCUUGGGGUGUAAACUCCCAGCACUUCAGCCUACCCUGUGCCCGGACUCUGGUGUGGCCCUCACUCCUAGAUUCACGGGCUCCCUGGAGACAUCUCUGCACAACUGUUGGCUCACACGUGGUCCUCUAUUCACAGGUGUCUACUCAAGGGAAUUCAAACAGGCGCUCAGACAGAUACCUGCGUACCUGUGUUCACAGCAACAUUAUCCACAACAGCCAGACGCCGGACACUACCAAGGGUCUGUCAUGGAUGAACAGAUAAACACGGCAUGCAUACAAUGCGGUGUUAUUCAGUCACAGAAAGGAGAGAAGCUCUGAGUCACACCGCAACAUGGCCUGGAAACUGUGAUGCAAUCAUAAAAUAUGAUGACACAUUGUGA